rnacentral:rRNA from 1 species
GCUUAGCCAUAAACAAAGACAAUACACACACAAUAUUGUCCGCCAGAGAACUACAAGCGAAAAACUCGAAACUCCAAGGACUUGGCGGUGCUUCACACCAACCUAGAGGAGCCUGUCCUAUAAUCGAUACCCCACGACAAACCUUACCAUCUUUUGCCAUUCAGCCUAUAUACCGCCGUCGCCAGCCUACCUUAUGAAAGAAAAACAGUAAGCAAAAUUGUUAAUAACAAACACGUCAGGUCAAGGUGUAGCACAUAAGAUGGAAGAGAUGGGCUACAUUUUCUACAACAGAAAAAACGAACGGCACAAUGAAAUACGGCCCUGAAGGUGGAUUUAGUAGUAAGAUAAUCAAGAAAAAUUAUCUUAAACCCGCUCUGAAGCGCGCACAC